UCAUACUCCGGUCCGGUAGAGGGAGCUGGUUCGCCUUGAGGUGAGCUGAAUUACUUCCGUUGGGGCAUAAGUGGAAUGGAUGGCAGGGGCGGGGACUGAAACGGAGAUAAAAGCGGGAAUGAGGAAUUGUUUGGGAGUCCAGUUGCUAGCCCAAAACGUGACAAGCGGGCCGUGAUCUGGAGCUGCAGCAAUUGGAGCUAUUACAGCGUUGCAUGGGAAUUCGUAGCGUAAGAGGAUUCCAGAGUGAUUGUGCCGCUUUUCCUCUGUUUUUACAUAUUAUUAAUCUACCUCCUACUGCCUGUUAUAGUGAAUUGUUAUUUCGUUGGUUUGUAUUUUGUUUUAUUGUUUUUUUUCCUUUUUUUGUUUAGGGGGGAAUAGUCUUGUUAAGGGCAUGGAUAACAAGAUGUUGCCCAUUAACACUUGUCUAAUGUAACUGAAUGCUGUGGAUUUGCUGUGGUAUUUCCUAUGUUUCUUGUUAUCAUAUUGUGCUGUGUUGUGGAUGUUUGUAUUUGUGUAUGAUAUCGAUUAACAGAAGCUAUUUUGAUUUAAGCUAACUGUGUGAUACUGGGGCCUGACCGUUGAACGGUAGUGGGUCAUUAGGCAGUGUAUCCCUUGUCAAUGCUCUUUCAGUGGGGGUUUAUGCAUGAAUAAACUGUUAUUAAUUUUA